rnacentral:rRNA from 1 species
UACGAGGGGUGCAAGCGUUAUUCGGAGUUACUGGGCGUAAAGAGUGCGUAGGCGGCUUGUUAAGUUGGCUGUUAAAUUCCUUGGCUCAACUGAGGAUCAGCAGUCAAUACUGGUGAGCUAGAGAGCAAGAGAGAAAGAUGGAAUUCUCGGAGUAGCGGUAAAAUGCGUAGAUCUCGAGAGGAAUAUCGGUUGCGAAGGCGGUCUUUUGGCUUGUAUCUGACGCUAAAGCACGAAAGCGUGGGGAGCAAACAGG